GAGUUUGAUCAUGGCUCAGAUUGCACGCUGGCGGCGGGCCUAACACAUGCAAGUCGCGCGUGAAAGCCUUCUGGUGAGUACAGCGGCGGACGGGGGAUGAUCGCCUGGGAGUCUGCCCGGCCGCGGUGAACAACAAUCGCAAACGACUGCUUCUACCACCUCCUCCCUCUGGGGAAAGCAGCUCGAUCCUCGGACCUUGCUGCAUGGGAUGAGCUCCUACUUAUUAACUGGUUGGUAGCCCGGCCCUACCCAUGCGAUGAUCUGAAAGUGGGCCGAGAGGAUGUUCAACCGAACUGGAACUGAAAUCCGGUCGAGGCUCCUACUGGGGGCUUCACUGCGGAAUAUUGCAGUCUGAGGGAAACCCUGCUCCUGCCAGAUCACUUGUGUCAAGAAGGACCUGCUUUUGUAAGCACCUUACGCAAUGAUAAAGGGUUGAACCCUAUAUCUAACACCAUUCCCGUUAGCUGCAUUAUACGCACCAUCUAACUCCGUGCCAGCAUCCGCGGUAAUACGGAGUGUCCGAGCGUUAUC
rnacentral:rRNA from 1 species